GCCCAGGCCGGACUGCGGACUGCAGUGGCGCAAUCUCGGCUCACUGCAAGCGCCGCUUCCCGGGUUCACGCCAUUCUCCUGCCUCAGCCUCCCGAGUAGCUGGGACUACAGGCGCCCGCCACCGAGCCCGGCUAAUUUUUUGUAUUUUUAGUAGAGACGGGGUUUCACCUUGUUAGCCAGGAUGGUCUCGAUCUCCUGACCUCAUGAUCCACCCGCCUCGGCCUCCCAAAGUGCUGGGAUUACAGGCGUGAGCCACCGCGCCCGGCCACAAGAGACCUUUUUAUUGCACAGUGGAAUAGUGCCUGCCUGGGAGUAAGCGAACUCUGGUCCUGCUUACCAUUGUGACAUGCAUGAUAACAGGUUCCUUCCUUCUGAUCUGCACCGCCCCCCUCCUCAUCUAUAAAGUGAGGAGGUUGAGCUACAUGGCAUCUGACUUACUCCCAAUCUGACUGCUGUUUACUCUGAAGCCAUGUGAGUAUGAGGAGACAGAGAAGAGGGAAGGAUGUGGGACAUGUGGCCCAUGUGAGACAACUGACCCAGACGGGCUAAAGCGAGAGGAGGAGGAGGACCCAGUGGCUCAGAACUCUCAGCCUCAAGGGUGGAAACAGGACUGGGACACUGGUCUUCUCCUUCCUUUGGACUCAGACUCAGACUUAGACUGGAAUUUACAACAUCAACUCACCUGGGUUUCCAGCUUGCCAACUUCAGAUCUUGGACUUCUCAUCUUCUAUAAUCAUGAUCUGUUCCAGAAGGAACUGCUGGAUCAAAGCAUGUGCGAACUCUUAAGGCUUCUGAUACAUAUUGCCAAAUUACCACUCGAAGGACUUACCAGCAGUGAAUGGGAGAACCUCUUCCCCAGGGUCCUGACCCACCCAACCAUAAACACACAAUAAGGAAGUAAGGGGGAU
rnacentral:lncRNA from 1 species